AGUGAACGCUGGCGGUAGGCCUAACACAUGCAAGUCGAACGGCAGCACAGUAAGAGCUUGCUCUUACGGGUGGCGAGUGGCGGACGGGUGAGGAAUACAUCGGAAUCUACUUUUUCGUGGGGGAUAACGUAGGGAAACUUACGCUAAUACCGCAUACGACCUACGGGUGAAAGCAGGGGAUCUUCGGACCUUGCGCGAUUGAAUGAGCCGAUGUCGGAUUAGCUAGUUGGCGGGGUAAAGGCCCACCAAGGCGACGAUCCGUAGCUGGUCUGAGAGGAUGAUCAGCCACACUGGAACUGAGACACGGUCCAGACUCCGACGGGAGGCAGAAGUGGGGAAUAUUGGAAAAUGGGCGCAAGCCUGAUCCAGCCAUACCGCGUGGGUGAAGAAGGCCUUCGGGUUGUAAAGCCCUUUUGUUGGGAAAGAAAAGCAGCAGGUUAAUACCCCGCUGUUCUGACGGUACCCAAAGAAUAAGCACCGGCUAACUUCGU
rnacentral:rRNA from 1 species